rnacentral:rRNA from 1 species
AUGCCAUUCGCCGGCGUAUCUGUCAUCACCAACGGCAAGCUGUGCCUUUCCACCACGUCGGACGUCGACGCCGGCGCGGCCAGCGGCUACCACCUGCUUGUGGUGGAGGGCUACUCGCAAACAAAAGAGAUGGUAUCCAAUGGCAAGCACAUCAUGUCUCGCCCAUUCGUCGUAGGAGGCCAUCGCUGGUGCAUCAGUUACGCACCAAACGGUGACAGCUCCUACAGUGCUGACUGUGUUUCUCUCCAUCUUGUCCUUCUUGAUGACGAUGUUGCCAAGGCUGUGAAGGUGCGGUUCGGGUUUAGUUUCAUUGAUCAGGUUGAGUGGCAAAAUCCAAUAUACAUUCGUGAAACUCAAACACACAGCUUCUCCAGCCAUGAUUCUAUUAGGGGCUUCGAUGAUGCUGUGAGAAAAGAUGCCCUUGAACAAUCAAAGCAUCUCAAGGGUGAUAGUUUCACCAUACGGUGUGGUGUCAUGGUCUACAGGGAUCUCGACACCGUGGAUGCCGGUGCCACCGAGGUGCCGCUGCCUGACAUACAGCAGCAUUUGAACCGUCUCUUUGAAACUAAGGUAGGUGCUGAUGUGACAUUCAAUGUCAGCGGCGAGACAAUCGCUGCACACCGAUGUGUGCUUGCAGCCCGGUCUCCAGUCUUCAUGGCACAACUCUUUGGUCCCAUGGAGGGGGCUGCAACGUGUGACAUACAGAUCGAAGACAUGGAAGCAAAUGUGUUCAGGGCUAUGCUUAGUUUCAUCUACACAGACUCAUUUCCCGAGAUGGAGAAUGAUGAGGCAGAAGUUGAGGAAGAACAAGAAGUGGAUGAAGUACUUUAUGCAACAUGGAUGCAAUGGAUGCAAGACUUGCUUGUAGCUGCGGACAGAUAUGAUAUCCAACGGCUCAAGUUUUGCUGUGAAGAGGGGUUGUCUGAGUGCAUGGAUGUGAGCUCGGUGACGUCCACACUUGUGAUAGCUGAGAAGCACCAUUGCCAAUAUUUGAAGGAGGCAUGCUUGAAUUUCCUCAGAGUAUCCCCCUCCAGUUUGCAAGAAGUAAUGGCAACCAGUGACUGGGAGCAUAUUACAGUCACAUAUCCCUCUGUUUUGAACGAGCUCAUUGCCAUGCUUGCUUCGAAAGCGUAA